GUACCCCAUGCUUUAUUCUUGAAUACUUAUGAUUUACCCUUGACCUGCUUUCAGUUUUGAAUUGUACAUGUGUUUUCCCAUAUUUGUCCAUGAUUAAUAGGAUUCAUGAGAUGCUGUGCGUAUGGAUGAAACUUAGGCAUAUGGUAACGAGGAUAGGUCAACCUCAGGACACCCAGGGAAGUUAGGGAGCAUGCCCCGCUGAGUGGAAAUUCCUAGUUCUCCUUUGUGGUUAGUUAGGGUCACCUCUCCACUUAGAAUCUUUUUCCAGUUGGUUGAGGCCAUUUCACACCCUUGCCCCACAGCCAUCUCCCAUUAUCAGAAAUAACAGCUUGUGCUGCCUCAACCUUCCCUGACCAUCCCCUACUGCUCAUAUCUGACCACCUCUGCUCUGAGAGCUGCCUCUGGAGCACAGUUUCUCCUUCUGUUCCUAGUCCCCACCCCAGCCACACCCAGCCUUGUAAAUCCUGCAGCCGCCACUUGGAACUGGGCGGUAAGGAGCAGGGCACCAACAGCCAGUGCUCAAGGAGCUGCACCUAAAUUUAUCUUUGCAGACUCUGCUUCCUGCUUGCCUCAGUUCUUCUCUCUUAUCUAUUCUAAUUCCAAGACCUUUUUGCUUAAUGCAUAGGAAUAUCAAAAUAUCAGUAGUAAUAAUAGAAGUAGCAUUCAGAGCCAGGAAUAUUUGUGCAUAUCUCUUCAGUCCUCACAGCAAUUUUACAAAGGAGCUUCCAUCUAGGCUGAAAGACAAAGGAUUAUGUGUACUCACUAAAGAGAAGACAUUCAUAAAAGAUGAUUUCCAUAGCUACUUCUCCCACACACCUGAGGCAAGAAAAAACAAUGUUUGUCUUAUAUUCCAUAGAAAUAUGGUCUCUUAUUUAGCCUAGUGAUUGUUGGAUUCAGAAGCACACUGGCUCAGCCUGGUGCCCCAGAGGAAAGCAGAAGAGAGCCCUAGGAAGCAGAAACACCAGUCCUUAAGGUCAAGAGAACAGGGGUGCCCUUGCCUCAUCAAAAAGGAGGAUGAAAAGGAGCCUACACUCCUGCCAUUGAUAUGGCAGACUGGGCUAAAUGGAUACCAUGGGAAGCAUGGGUCAUCUUAAGACUUCUUCAUCCAAGAGGGCCAUCUACACCGAUAAGGAGAUUAUAGUUAAACAGCCAGUACAAAGCAAGGUGAAGUGCAAGAGUCCUUCCAUUUGCAUCCAAUAGGAAGGAUAUCAACUGAAUACCUUCCACACAAUGGGCAUGAGCAGCUAAGGAAUGGAAAAAGAAUUCCAGACAAGAAAAAAGAAAAGACUUCAGCCCUAUUCCCUAAUCUCAUCCCUGUGCACAGAAUCUAUCCUAAGUGUCACAUAAGGAAAGGGAUUUUAUGGAGCACGUUAGAGGCAAUGGCUGAAGAAAAAAAUAAAACUAUUUUAUAUUUGUUUCAU
rnacentral:lncRNA from 1 species